rnacentral:rRNA from 1 species
UACGUAGGGCGCGAGCGUUGUCCGGAAUUAUUGGGCGUAAAGAGCUCGUAGGUGGUUUGUCGCGUUGUUCGUGAAAACUCACAGCUUAACUGUGGGCGUGCGGGCGAUACGGGCAGACUGGAGUACUGCAGGGGAGACUGGAAUUCCUGGUGUAGCGGUGGAAUGCGCAGAUAUCAGGAGGAACACCGGUGGCGAAGGCGGGUCUCUGGGCAGUAACUGACGCUGAGGAGCGAAAGCGUGGGGAGCGAACAGG